rnacentral:ncRNA from 1 species
UACCUGGUUGAUCCUGCCAGUAGUCAUAUGCUUGUCUCAAAGAUUAAGCCAUGCAAGUCUAAGUACGAGCUCUCGUACAGUGAAACUGCGAAUGGCUCAUUAAAUCAGUUAUGGUUCAUUUGAUCGUACAGUUUACUUGGAUAACUGUGGUAAUUCUAGAGCUAAUACAUGCGAGAAGCGCCGACCUCGCGGGAGGCGUGCAUUUAUCAGACCAAAAACCGGCCGCGUCUUCGGGCGCGUUCGCCUUGGUGACUCUGGAUAACUUUGCGGAUCGCACGGUCUAGCACCGGCGACGGAUCAUUCAAGUGUCUGCCCUAUCAACUUUCGUCGGUACGGUAUUUGCCUACCGAGGUUCUUACGGGUGACGGGGAAUCAGGGUUCGAUUCCGGAGAGGGAGCCUGAGAAACGGCUACCACAUCCAAGGAAGGCAGCAGGCGCGCAAACUACCCAUUCCCGACGCGGGGAGGUAGCGACGAAAAAUAACAAUGCAGGACUCGUUCGAGGCCCCGCAACCGGAACGAGCACACCCCAAAAGCCCCAACGAGCACCCACCGGAGGGCAAGUCCGGCGCCAGCAGCCGCGGUAACCCCAGCCCCAAAAGCACACACCCAAGCCGCCGCGGCCAAAAAGCCCGCAGCCGGACCCCGGGCGCAGGCGGCCGGUCCGUCGCAAGGCGCGC